CCUACGGGCGGCUGCAGUGGGGAAUAUUGCACAAUGGGCGCAAGCCCGAUGCAGCCAUGCCGCGUGUGUGAAGAAGGCCUUCGGGUUGUAAAGCACUUUCAGCGGGGAGGAAGGCGGUGAGGUUAAUAACCUCAUCGAUUGACGUUACCCGCAGAAGAAGCACCGGCUAACUCCGUGCCAGCAGCCGCGGUAAUACGGAGGGUGCAAGCGUUAAUCGGAAUUACUGGGCGUAAAGCGCACGCAGGCGGUCUGUCAAGUCGGAUGUGAAAUCCCCGGGCUCAACCUGGGAACUGCAUUCGAAACUGGCAGGCUAGAGUCUUGUAGAGGGGGGUAGAAUUCCAGGUGUAGCGGUGAAAUGCGUAGAGAUCUGGAGGAAUACCGGUGGCGAAGGCGGCCCCCUGGACAAAGACUGACGCUCAGGUGCGAAAGCGUGGGGAGCAAACAGGAUUAGAUACCCGAGUAGUC
rnacentral:rRNA from 1 species